UACAGGGGAUGCAAGUGUUAUCCAGAAUUAUUGGGCGUAAAGGGCCUGCAGGUGGAUCCUUAAGUCUUUUGUUAAAUCUCUGGGCUUAACCCAGAAUAUGCAAGAGAAACUACUUAUCUCGAGUAUGGUAGAGGUAAAGGGAAUUUCCAGUGGAGCGGUGAAAUGCGUAGAUAUUGGAAAGAACACCAAAGGCGAAGGCACUUUACUGGGCCAGUACUGACACUGAGGGGCGAAAGCUAGGGGAGCAAACGGGAUUAGAUACCCCGGUAGUCCUAGCCCUAAACGAUGGAUACUAGAUGUUGAAUAUUUUUAAAAUGAAAAUGUGCAGUGUCUUAGCUAACGCGUUAAGUAUCCCGCCUGGGAAGUAUGCUCGCAAGAGUGAA
rnacentral:rRNA from 1 species